UGAGUAACACGUGAGUGACCUGCCUUUUAGACUGGAACAACUUACCGAAAGGUGAGCUAAUGCCGGAUGAGUUAUAUAAGUGCAUGUUUAUAUAGGAAAAGUUGGGGAGACCUGACGCUGAAAGAUGGACUCGCGCCCCAUUAGCUAGUUGGUAGGGUAAUGGCCUACCAAGGCGACGAUGGGUAGCCGGCCUGAGAGGGUGGCCGGCCACACUGGGACUGAGACACGGCCCAGACUCCUACGGAAGGCAGCAG
rnacentral:rRNA from 1 species